GAUGAACGCUAUCUACAGGCUUAACACAUGCAAGUCGAGGGGCAGCAUGAACUUAGCUUGCUAAGUUUGAUGGCGACCGGCGCACGGGUGAGUAACACGUAUCCAACCUGCCGAUGACUCGGGGAUAGCCUUUCGAAAGAAAGAUUAAUACCCGAUGGCAUAGUUCUUCCGCAUGGUAGAACUAUUAAAGAAUUUCGGUCAUCGAUGGGGAUGCGUUCCAUUAGGUUGUUGGCGGGGUAACGGCCCACCAAGCCUUCGAUGGAUAGGGGUUCUGAGAGGAAGGUCCCCCACAUUGGAACUGAGACACGGUCCAAACUCCUACGGGAGGCAGCAGUGAGGAAUAUUGGUCAAUGGACGAGAGUCUGAACCAGCCAAGUAGCGUGAAGGAUGACUGCCCUAUGGGUUGUAAACUUCUUUUAUACGGGAAUAAAGUGAGGCACGUGUGCCUUUUUGUAUGUACCGUAUGAAUAAGGAUCGGCUAACUCCGUGCCAGCAGCCGCGGUAAUACGGAGGAUCCGAGCGUUAUCCGGAUUUAUUGGGUUUAAAGGGAGCGUAGGCGGACGCUUAAGUCAGUUGUGAAAGUUUGCGGCUCAACCGUAAAAUUGCAGUUGAUACUGGGUGUCUUGAGUACAGUAGAGGCAGGCGGAAUUCGUGGUGUAGCGGUGAAAUGCUUAGAUAUCACGAAGAACUCCGAUUGCGAAGGCAGCCUGCUGGACUGUAACUGACGCUGAUGCUCGAAAGUGUGGGUAUCAAACAGG
rnacentral:rRNA from 1 species